rnacentral:rRNA from 1 species
AACAUGGGGUGCAAACGUUGCUCGGAAUUAUUGGGCGUAAAGAGCACGUAGGUGGUCUGUUAUGUCAGAUGUGAAAGCCCUCGGCUUAACUGAGGAAGUGCACCUGAAACUGGCAGGCUUGAGUACGAAAGAGGGUCGCGGAAUUCCCGGUGUAGAGGUGAAAUUCGUAGAUAUCGGGAGGAACACCGGUGGCGAAGGCGGCGACCUGGUUCGAUACUGACACUGAGGUGCGAAAGCGUGGGGAGCAAACAGG